rnacentral:lncRNA from 1 species
AGUGGGACCAAUAACUGUUAGGUGAGGUCUUCAUGACUUAGAGACCAAGUAGCACUGCAACAUGCUUGAGAAGCAUUGUACAAAAGUUGUACACUCAUCCAUUUAUGUAUCACCAAUAACUGUUAGGUGAGGUGGCAUGUAAAUCGGUGGGACCGCAGUACCCACUAGAAACCCUAGUCGUGUAGGAUUUUUGUUUUCCUACCAGGAGAGUGUGAGGAAUUCGUGAAAAUAGUGGAAGGUACAUUUGUUCUAAAAGAUCCUAGAACAGAUCAGGAUAAAGUACAAAAGUCUAACUAGAAUCUUUACUCUCUGCAGAUCAUAAUGUCAACCUCAAAC